rnacentral:rRNA from 1 species
AUUGAACGCUGGCGGCAGGCUUAACACAUGCAAGUCGAACGAGUGGCGGACGGGUGAGUAAUACAUGGGAAUAUGGCCUGUGGAGGGGGAUAACUACGGGAAACAGUGGCUAAUACCGCGUACCAUAGGAUGAGCCGAUAGGGGAUUAGGUAGUUGGUGGGGUAAAGGCUCACCAAGGCGACGAUCCCUAGCUGGUCUGAGAGGAUGACCAGCCACACUGGGACUGAGCCACGGCCCAGACUCCUACGGGAGGCAGCAGUGGGGAAUAUUGCGCAAUGGGGGCAACCUGAUGCAGCCAUGCCGCGUGAAUGAAGAAGGCCUUCGGGUUGUAAAGUUCUUUCGGUAGCGAAGCGUUAUCUACAGAAUAAGCACCGGCUAACUCCGUGCCAGCAGCCGCGGUAAUAC